rnacentral:sRNA from 1 species
UUUGGAUGAUGAGAACUAAAAGAAUUCGCCGGAGGAUA